rnacentral:rRNA from 1 species
UACGUAGGGACCGAGCGUUGUCCGGAUUCAUUGGGCGUAAAGAGCUCGUAGGCGGCUGCUCAAGUCGAAUGUGAAAACUCGAGGCUCAACCUCGAGCCUGCAUUCGAUACUGUCGGGCUAGAGUCCGGAAGAGGCGAGUGGAAUUCCCGGUGUAGCGGUGAAAUGCGCAGAUAUCGGGAGGAACACCAAUGGCGAAGGCAGCUCGCUGGGACGGUACUGACGCUGAGACGCGAAAGCGUGGGGAGCAAACAGG